GAGGACAGCGGUUCUGGUUACAGCAAUCACAGUAGCAGGUGGUCCAAAAGGGUAUCCUCCUUUCUUGGUCCUGUUCAGCUGACGGAUAUACACCUUGUCACCGGGCUGGUAUGAAUGAGUAGGUUCCUGUGAAGGUAAGGGAAAACUGCGAAGAAACAUUGUCAUACAUACCAUUCGAUUUUAUCAACAAUUCCUGUACAUAUUGUUCUUGUAUAAGCUGUAAAUCCCCAGACAUUAUAACAAGCGGUUCCCUGGCCCAGGGUGUGGGAAAAGGUCAUCCCAUCAAAAAUCUCAGAUGGAGAUAAUUUAGUCACCUUGUGAGGAAUCACUCUUAUCUCAGCUAAAAUAGCUGGUAGAUAUCUAGUCCAAUUUUCCCAUGUUCCUGGGUAAAUUCUGGGCUUUUCCUUAAUAGUCCUAUUCAUCCUUUCAACUACCCCUGUAUUCUGUGGAUGAUAGGGUAUAUGAAACUGCCAGGUAACUUGCAAGAAUUUAGCAAGUUCCUGGGCAACCUUACUGGCAAAAACCGGGCCAUUAUCAGAGCCAAUCUGCAGAGGGCAGCCAUACCUGGGAAUAAUUUCAGUAACAAUAAACUUCACUAGAAUCUUCCCUAGAUAUCACAAAGGCCUCAUGCCAUCUACUAAACUGAUUAACUAUGACCAGUAAGUAUUGCUGUUUCUUACCAAUUUUGGAUACAUGAAUAAAAUCAAUCUGUAAGUGUGUAAAAAGAGCAGUGUUCACACGAUCUUACAAAAGACUGUACAUGCUGCCUGAGAUUCCUAAUAUAAAAUGAAUUCAUGAGGAAUUGAAUGGUGCUUGCUAUGUGCCUGACU